UACGUAGGGUGCAAGCGUUGUCCGGAAUUAUUGGGCGUAAAGAGCUCGUAGGCGGUCUGUCGCGUCGGAUGUGAAAAUCCAGGGCUCAACCCUGGACCUGCAUUCGAUACGGGCAGACUAGAGUUCGGUAGGGGAGACUGGAAUUCCUGGUGUAGCGGUGAAAUGCGCAGAUAUCAGGAGGAACACCGGUGGCGAAGGCGGGUCUCUGGGCCGAAACUGACGCUGAGGAGCGAAAGCGUGGGUAGCAAACAGG
rnacentral:rRNA from 1 species